rnacentral:sRNA from 13 species
AGUGUCAUCUCUGAUGGGUAUUAAGACCUUAACAGAAUGUGAGAUCCGUCCGUACAUUCCAGGUGUGUUAUCUACUUUUACAGACUUGUAAUACAGUUUAUGACAGUACUUGAGUCCCCCCUUCCCCUUUCUUUCCAGAGUUAUUGCCUACUCUCGUGUGCCACACCUAGGUAAUGCCAUCCCUAUCUCCUGUCGUUUUGUCUCUGCUAUUGAGUGUCACGUGACCCUGUCGACAGUAAAUGCGAUGUUUUGUCAUGUGUGUUAUAGUAUCGGCGUGGUUGUAAAUAGUUUUCUCUUGUUCUAAGUAUUUUAGAUCUAGUCAUUCAAUGCGUGUCGCUUUUUGAAUAGGCUGUGAUUGGAAUGCUGUUAGUAGCCGCCGCAUCUUAUUUGUAUGAAUUUACAAGGAUAUUAGUCGAUCUAGAUCUAUGUGGUUUAUGUGAAACAAAACGCCUAUCACUAGUGAGUGGGUGGACUUCUGUAAUGGAUUAAUUGAGGCCUUUAGUUAGUGUGCACACAUCUCUUGGCUUCUAAGAGUGACUGUGAACUGAUCGUGGUAUUUUGGAGUCUACAUCUGGUCCAGGGGAAAAACGUGUCUUUAGUUAACAGCUUGUAGGGACGAUAUGAGGCGAGACGAUGAUGACAGAUACAGGAGGGGAGGGGCCCGCAACGGUGGGCCCUCAUUUGACAGAUUCAACACAGAUUAUCUAG